CAAAUACUCCCCCCGUCUCAAAAUUCUUGUCUUAGAUUUGUCUAGAUACAGAUGUAUCUAAUACUAAAAUGUGAAUUGAUACAUCCAUAUUUAGAUAAAUCUAAGACAAAAAUUUUGGGACGGAGGGAGUACUAU
rfam:Triticum aestivum genome assembly, contig: Triticum_aestivum_CS42_TGACv1_scaffold_471610_6AL